UCAAAAAUAUCUUAAUUUGUGUUCUGAAGAUGAAUGAAGGUCUUACGGGUGUGGAACGACACGAGGGUGAGUAAUUAAUGACAGAAUUUUAAUUUUUGGGUGAACUAACCCUUUAAAUAAUAGUGAUACUUAUCCGAAAAGCUUCUGAAUGACUGUGUUGAAGUGUCAUCCAGAACCUGCUGGUUUUGUACAGAUCGUGUCGUGUUAAUGUUUCACAUGCUGCUCGACUACAUUCUUGUCUUUACUACAGAAUCGCAUUCCUCUGUGGGAUUCGGCGCAGUCUCUCUCUAACACACACCACACCUGAGGAGUCUGAGGAGCGCAACACAAUGACUGUCCUGUCAUGCUCUGAGCCGAAGGAACUGGUUUCUCUGCAUAAAUCGGUUGGGAUGUCUGCUUGUAGGAUGAAUGUGGACACAUGUUCAAACAUCACCUGUCCAUCAUUGAAGCCAGUGUCAGUCCAUGUGACCCAGAACACUUCCUCUGUUGCUCCAAAGAAGCCCAGAUCUACAAAACAACAGAAUCAAACCAGUCAAUCCCAGCGUCCAUCACUGCCUGCUGUGGUUCAGGCCAGAAAUCUACUGAUUUUUAUGAAGCAUAAUAACUUUCAUAUCGUCAGUAAUGUUUCCAGACGAACAAGCAACUCUGGUUUACAUGAUUAUACACAUGCAUCAUUUUUUCCCCAUACAUUCCUGUCCAGGAUCAGGUAUGAAUCCAUCAUGAUUGUGUCAAUAUACAGUGAUUAAAAAAAUAUAAAAUUAAAAAUGUUAUUUUUGAUAUUGACAGCUGUUUGGGGGAUUAUUUUAUGGCACCAAAAUAUACAUAUAUUUUUACUGUAUUGAAAUAGCCUAAUGUCUACUUUACUUUAUUACUUUAACAGUUGAACUGAUCAAGAGUGUGUGUAUAUAUUACAUGAUACAAAUGUUGUAUUUUCUGACCAGUUUUACAGUUUUAUUACGUUUUUGUUGUUCCUGAAGUCCACCCUUCUGCUGAUUUUUAUAUGCAUUUUAUGUAUUUAAUGUGCAUUUUAAGUAUACUGUUAUAAAGAUCUCCUCGAUUUACGUUACAAGCAUCAGAAUUAUAUCUUAUUUAUUUUAACAUAAUAUUAUAAACAAUAUUUUGCACUAAAUUGCUAAGUUUUGGUCAAAGUUGAGCUGUUUUCCCCUCCAUAUUCUCACUAUAUUAUACAAUAUGAGCCAUAAUGUGUCAAAUAUGAUACUAAACAUAAACACAUAUGCAGAUUUUCUUCUAUAUUUGGUCUAAAUGUUCGAUAAACUGCUCCAUGUAAAAAAAAAAAAAGAAAAGAAAAAAGGGUUUACAGAGUUAAUUGAAUCAUUGCAUGAAUCUGAAUGAACUGACAGAAGUUACUUACAUGUGAGUCGCGUGACACUCGAUUCUGUGUCGGUUUUAUGUGCUGUAAUAUGACUGUAAGGCUGUAAUAUGACUGUAAAUAAAACAAUCUGCACGUG